CAUGGAUGGGCCUAGAGAAUAUACUAAGUGAUGUAAGUUGGAGAAAGACAAUACUAUAUAGUAUCGCCUAUAUGUGAAAUCUAAAAUAUGAUACAAAACAAACUUAUUUACAAAAUGGAAACAGACUCAUGGACAUAGAGAACAAACAUGGUUACCAAAGAGGAAAGGGGCAGGGAGGGGAAUAAAUGAGAAGUUUCGGGAUUAACAGGUACAACUACUAUAUAUUAAAUAGAUAAACGACAAGGUGCUGCUGUAUAGCACAGGGAACUAUAUUAAAUAUCUUAUAAUAACCUGUAAUGAAAAAGAAUACAAAAAGAAUUUACAUAUGUGUAUAUAUAUGACUGAACCACCUUGCUGUACAUUAGAAACUAACGUUAUAAAUCAACUAUACUACAGCCCCCACCACCAAACCAUAGAGAGGCAUGGAGUAAAACUUAAUAAUCCAUUAAAUAGAAUUAAUUUCAUUUAAACACUGCAUAUAUACAUAUACCAUAUACAGAUAGGUUUUUUAUUGCAUUUUUGGGUUUCAGUCCUUAUUGUCUUUCAGAGCUGUCCUCCUAUCUUAGGUAGCUUUGAGAGGCUACAUUCUAGCUACAUGUUGCAUAGAUAGCCAAAUGAGUAGUUUGCAAUGUGGUUGGUACAGGAAUUAGUGGGGACUCAACAUGCUUUUUUGGUUCAUGCAGCCUUCAUGUAGAUUAGACUCUGUAUCAGGUCUUUUAAAUGGGCUUGUUGAGUAUUUUACUCUCAUUUUAAUCUGUAUCUCAUUUUAUUUGAAUUGAACUCCCUGGGUUUGAUGUCGGUGGAGGAAACUGGAUUCAUUUGCCCUAAGCAAAACGUCACAUUCUUCCUGCUUGAAUAGCAAGACCUGGAGGAAAAGGAGGACUCACAGGAGGCCAAGGUGUAAAUGACACCAGUACCUGUUUAGAAGUAUUGGAGGCCCUUGAGAAGCAGAUACGAGCAGUUUUUGUUGAGAGCUUCAGCACCAUCUCAAAGCUAUGGCUGUUAACAUCGUCUUCAGUGCUUUUUGAGAAGUGCCUAAAGGAUCCCAUCUCCCUAGGAGCGAAAGGUACGUCUCAUCUUUACGAUCUUGAACCAUGGUUUAUUGGAAUGUUUUUCUCAUUUUUAUUGUCUCUAAGGGUUCUAUUAAGUUUCAUCUUUUUCCCCGUGAAAUUUCUUGACACACCCAGGCAGUAAUGAUUUUGAUGUAAAACUUAGUGCUUAUAUUACCCCUAGUUGGUACGAGUUUUGCUCCAUUAUGAUACUGGAUUGAAAACAAAACAAAACAAAACACUGAUUAAUGAAUUCAUCCACAUUGCUGCAAAUGUCAGCACUUCAUUUUUUUUUUAUGGCUGAGUAGUAUUUCAUUAUAUAAACCACAUCUUCUUAAUCCAAUCAUCUGUUGAUGCACACUUGGGUUGUUUCCAUGUCUUGGCUAUUAUAAUUAGUGC
rnacentral:lncRNA from 1 species